UACAGAGGUGGCAAGCGUUGUUCGGAAUUACUGGGCGUAAAGGGCGCGUAGGCGGCUUGGUCAGUCCCGUGUGAAAUCCCUCGGCUCAACUGAGGAACUGCACGGGAAACUGCCUGGCUUGAGUUCGGGAGAGGGAAGCGGAAUUCCUGGUGUAGCGGUGAAAUGCGCAGAUAUCAGGAGGAACACCGGUGGCGAAGGCAGCCCCCUGGGCUGAGAUUGACGCUCAGGCACGAAAGCGUGGGGAGCAAACAGG
rnacentral:rRNA from 1 species